GAUGAACGCUGGCGGCGUGCCUAAUACAUGCAAGUCGAGCGAACAGAUAAGGAGCUUGCUCCUUUGACGUUAGCGGCGGACGGGUGAGUAACACGUGGGUAACCUACCUAUAAGACUGGGAUAACUUCGGGAAACCGGAGCUAAUACCGGAUAACAUUUGGAACCGCAUGGUUCUAAAGUGAAAGAUGGUUUUGCUAUCACUUAUAGAUGGACCCGCGCCGUAUUAGCUAGUUGGUAAGGUAACGGCUUACCAAGGCGACGAUACGUAGCCGACCUGAGAGGGUGAUCGGCCACACUGGAACUGAGAUACGGUCCAGACUCCUACGGGAGGCAGCAGUAGGGAAUCUUCCGCAAUGGGCGAAAGCCUGACGGAGCAACGCCGCGUGAGUGAUGAAGGGUUUCGGCUCGUAAAACUCUGUUAUUAGGGAAGAACAAACGUGUAAGUAACUGUGCACGUCUUGACGGUACCUAAUCAGAAAGCCACGGCUAACUACGUG
rnacentral:rRNA from 1 species